ensembl:lncRNA
GUCUCCCACAUAAAUAUUUUCUACAGUGGUUUAUAUGAAGAGCUGCUACUCUAAACAAGUAAGUAGAACUUGACACCAAUGAUGGUGAUGAUGGAGAUGAAAAAGAUGAUAGAGAUGAUGGAUGUGAUGGAGAUGAUAAAGAUGAUAAAGGUAAUAAAGAUGAUGCAGAGGGUUGAGAUGGUGGAGAUGAUAAAGGUGAUGAAGGUGAUGGAGAUGAUAGAGAUAAUAAAGAUAAUGGAGAUGAUAAAGAUAAUAAAGAUGAUGCAGAUGGUUAAGAUGGUGGAGAUGAUGGAGAUGAUAGAGGUGAUGGAGGUGAUGGAGAUGAUAGAGAUAAUGGAGAUGAUAGAGGUGAUGGAGGUGAUGGAGAUGAUAGAGAUAAUAAAGAUGAUGCAGAUGGUUAAGAUGGUGGAGAUGAUGGAGAUGAUAGAGGUGAUGGAGGUGAUGGAGGUGAUGGAGAUGAUAGAGGUGAUGGAGGUGAUGGAGAUGAUAGAGAUAAUAAAGAUGAUGGAGAUGAUAGAUAGUAGAAAGAUGAUGCAGAUGGUUAAGAUGGUGGAGAUGAUGGGGAUGAUAAACAUGGGUGGAG